ACCUGGCGGCAGGCUACACCUGCAGGUUCGAACGGUAACAGGAUAGCUUGCUAUCGCUGACAGAGUGGCGGACGGGUGAGUAAUACUUAGGGAUCUGCCUCUGUGUGGGGGAUAACUAUUGGAAACGAUAGCUAAUACCGCAUAAUGUCUACGGACCAAAGCGGGCUUCGGCUCGUGCGCAGAGAGGAACCUAAGCGAGAUUAGCUAGUUGGUGAGGUAAAGGCUCACCAAGGCGACGAUCUCUAGCUGUUCUGAGAGGAAGAUCAGCCACACUGGAACUGAGACACGGUCCAGACUCCUACGGGAGGCAGCAGUGGGGAAUAUUGCACAAUGGGGGAAACCCUGAUGCAGCCAUGCCGCGUGUGUGAAGAAGGCCUUCGGGUUGUAAAGCACUUUCAGUUGUGAGGAAAGUUUAGUAGUUAAUACCUGCUAGAUGUGACGUUAGCAACAGAAGAAGCACCGGCUAACUCCGUGCCAGCAGCCCGCGGUAAUACGGAGGGUGCGAGACGUUAAUCGGAAUUCCUGGGCGUAAAGCGCACGCAGUGCAGGUCUGUUAAGCUAGAUGUGAAAGCCCCGCGCUCACACGUGGGAGGGUCAUUUAGAACUGGGCAGACUAAGUCUUGGAGACGGGAGUGGAAUUCCAAGGUGUAAGCGGUGAAAUGCGUAGAGAUCUGGGAGAACAUCCAUGGGAGAAAGC
rnacentral:rRNA from 1 species